GGUUGGAUGGCCGAGCGGUCUAAGGCGCCAGACUAAGGAUCAGCUUCAAGUUGAAGCUUCAGUUACUCAGGUAAUCUGGUCCUCCGGGGCGUGGGUUCGAAUCCCACUCCAAUCA